UAGGGAUUACGUGAGAUAAUAUGGUCUGUGUGCUGAUUCACUCAUUUAGUGUGGUCUCAUUUCCUUAAAGAACACAUCUUGAGAGAACACUUUUUUACUCUCUAACCCUCAGGGUCAUCUGGAUGAAAUGAAUACUUUUAGGGCAAAAUGGCUGAUACUGCUUCCUUGAUAACCACAUAUAGAAAACUGACAACUGUUUAGAACAAAGCCAAAGAUGAAACCAAAUAUAAAACCACUGAUGAAAACUAAGUGAAAAAUAUAAGCAAAAUAGAAGAAAAAUAAGGUCGUUAUUUCAAGAAAAGGAAAGACAGUCAAUGCUGUUCUUUAUAUUCACAUACAAUUUGGUUCACACCAAAAUGUGAGUUGUUCUCUAUGAGAUGUUAUUAAACGUUCCUAAGAAGACUCGCUUUAGAAAAAAACAGUAUUCCUAAGGCAUGUCCAAUCUGUCUCUUUUCUUAAUUGCUAUAGUUCUACUUUAUUAUUAUAAUGUAUUCAGCAUUAAAAUUCAUUAUUUCCC
rnacentral:antisense_RNA from 1 species